GACGAACGCUGGCGGCGUGCCUAAUACAUGCAAGUAGAACGCUGAAGGAGGAGCUUGCUUCUCUGGAUGAGUUGCGAACGGGUGAGUAACGCGUAGGUAACCUGCCUGGUAGCGGGGGAUAACUAUUGGAAACGAUAGCUAAUACCGCAUAAUAGCAGUUGUUGCAUGACAACUGUUUGAAAGUUGCAAUUGCACCACUACCAGAUGGACCUGCGUUGUAUGAGCUAGUUGGUGGGGUAACGGCUCACCAAGGCGACGAUACAUAGCCGACCUGAGAGGGGGAUCGGCCACACUGGGACUGAGACACGGCCCAGACUCCUACGGGAGGCGGCAGUAGGGAAUCUUCGGCAAUGGGCGGAAGUCUGACCGAGCAACGCCGCGUGAGUGAAGAAGGUUUUCGGAUCGUAAAGCUCUGUUGUAAGAGAAGAACGAGUGUGAGAGUGGAAAGUUCACACUGUGACGGUAUCUUACCAGAAAGGGACGGCUAACUACGUG
rnacentral:rRNA from 1 species